rnacentral:rRNA from 1 species
UUUCCUACGGGAGGCAGCAGUGGGGAAUAUUGGGCAAUGGGCGCAAGCCUGACCCAGCAACGCCGCGUGAAGGAAGAAGGCUUUCGGGUUGUAAACUUCUUUUCUCAGGGACGAAGAAAGUGACGGUACCUGAGGAAUAAGCCACGGCUAACUACGUGCCAGCAGCCGCGGUAAUACGUAGGUGGCAAGCGUUAUCCGGAUUUACUGGGUGUAAAGGGAGCGCAGGCGGCACGGCAAGCCUGAUGUGAAAGCCCGCGGCCCAACCGCGGGACUGCAUUGGGAACUACCGGGCUGGAGUGCCGGAG